CCUACGGGUGGCAGCAGUGAGGAAUAUUGGUCAAUGGCCGCAGGGCUGAACCAGCCAAGUCGCGUGAGGGAUGACGGUCCUAUGGAUUGUAAACCUCUUUUGUCAGGGAGCAAAGGGCGCCACGUGUGGCGCUUUGCGAGUACCUGAAGAAAAAGCAUCGGCUCACUCCGUGCCAGCAGCCGCGGUAAUACGGAGGAUGCUAGCGUUACUCGGAUUUAUUGGGUUGAAAGGGUGCGCAGGCGGAAUGUCUAGUCAGCGGUAGAAUGUCGGCGCUCAACCCCGUCGUGCCGUUUAAACUGGCGUUCUUGAUGGAGCGAGAAGUAUGCGGAAUGCGUGGUGUAGCGGU
rnacentral:rRNA from 1 species